AUCAUCAAUGCGCGACGCGCUGCGCACAACACACAUACAUACACACAGCAACGCACACACAGAAGGGGAUAUCUUCUUCUGUGUGUGUUGCGCGUGUUGUGUGUGUGUGGUGCGUGCGGCAACUCGACACACAAUUGA
rnacentral:misc_RNA from 1 species